ensembl:lncRNA
ACAUUUAAAGUUAUAGACAGUUGAAGGCGAUGUUUACAUGCACGUAUCAAUAAUUAUUACCCGGUUCUUUUUUCCUCAGUAGCAGGAAGGGAUGUGAAUACGAAGGCAGAAGAGCAGCAGUCCCCGCUGAUCCACAGUCUUUUGGAGCCGUUUUUAAAAGAUUUCCAACCAGGAAGUGAAAAGAAAGUCAUGUCGUUGGGGGAGACGAAGGUGGAAGCGAUGGCGUCUCUUAUUGAGCUGCUUUUGGAAACUGUGAUGGAUUUGACUUCCUCAGAGUUCAAGCGUUUUCAGCAGUUUCUCCUGAAUGAAAUUGACUUCGACAGACCUUCCUCAGACUUCCCGUGGAGGCUACUGAGCAGGAGAGACAAGCAGGACACCGUGUUUUUAAUGGUGCUGAGCUACGGCCAACAGUCUUUGACGAUGAUUAAGGAGCAUUUAAAGUAUUUCGAGAGGACCGAUCUGAAGAAUAAAUUGCCUCCAAGCAGCCCGGGACCCAAAAAGAAAAGUUCCAAAGUAGAGCGACCUGCACUGAUCCAGAAAGUAGCAACAAUGGCGGCAGUGAAACAGGUGCUUUUGGAAACCGUCACUGGUUUUAGGAACAAGGAGCUCCAGAAAUUCAAGGAGCUCCUGCAGUUGAUUGUCUCCCAGAGGGAACACCAAUGGAUCUGGUUUGGACCGAGUGACGCUGCAGACACGGUGGACGAGAUGAUGCAGACUUAUGGCCGACGCUCUCUGGAUUUAACGAGAGAAGUCAUGGAGAAAAUGAACAGGAGCGAUCUGAUGCAGAAAUUGUCAGCGUCCAGCUUAGGACUCACAGAGGAACCUUCUGUGGAAAAACAUCACGCUGCACUGUCAAAGCAAAGAUUGAAAAUACAAACAGCAGCUGUGGAAAUGAGUCUUCUACCAAAAGUCAAAGCGUUGAGUAUCGAGGAGUUUGAGAAAUUCAAGUGGCUGCUGCAGUUCACGUACUUCAAGAAGAGUCUCCCGAACAUCUCAUGGAGCACACUGGAAUGGGCAGAAACUGCAUAUCAACUCGUAGUGCUGAUGGAGCACAAGCCACAGUCUCUUGAGGUGACCGAGGAGGUUCUAAUGGACAUGAGGAUCGUCCCAGAGGAGACGUUGCCAGAGACCAGCUGGGGACUCAAAGAGUUGGGAUGGAAAAGUUCUGAAGAAAUUCCUAUUUCCUCCCCUAUACCGAGCAAAUCACGACGAUACCGUACGACGAGAUAUAGAAAGAUAAAACGUUGGUCGGAGAAGGUUUUAAAGGAGAUGGAAUCAUCACUGAGUUCAUCUAAUACCAGCUCAGGAUUCAAAGAGCCUUCAAGAAGUUGUGAAAGCAUCAGCGACUCUGGUGAAUGGACUCAACUGGAACCUGAAGAGGACAGGAAAGGUACUGAUGAGGCUCCAACUUACAGCCUGCAGUCCGAAGCGGGAAGCUUUGAAUGCAGCGUCUCUGGCUUGCGCUGGAUCUGCAAUGGAACGGUCAGCUUUAAGUACCAGUUUCUCUACAUGGGGUCUCAUGAAGUCCUCAUGGAGAGGAUCCGAAGCCUGCAAUACAUGCCUGCAGGUCCCCUGAUGGACAUCACAGUGAUUGCUGGGAAGUUUGAUGAAGUGUACCUGCGACACUGGAUCUGCAUCGAAAACAAUCCUGAGAUAUUGGACAAGUUCGCAGUCCUGCACAUAGAGGACUGUGGAGAUGAUGUGGAAAAAGUGUCCCAGGUCACAUCGUCCCAUGUCAAGCUGUCUGAGCCUGUUUUCUCUCUAAAAAUGCUCCUGGUGAGAUGGGGUUGUCGAUUCGAAGUUGACUGUAACGUGUUGAUAUACAAGACCAACACAGACUUCCUCACGCUCCAUGUGUACCUGAUCCCACGUGAUCUGGGUCUGCAGCAGGAAUUGGACAAGAGGAUGUUGUCCUAUGGAUACAAACUCAUCCGAAAGCCACACCCAGAGAAGUCCCUGAAAAUGAAGGAUUGUUUCAUCUUAACCGCAGAUUUGGAAAAAGCAGAGAUUUCUCCUGAGCUCUCGAGAACCGUGACGUACAGACGUUUCCUUUCUCCAGCUGCUGGAGUGAUGAAGUAUCAAGACCUGUCCGACCUCAAGGGUUCCACCACCCUUGAGUUCUGUUAUUUAUACAGCAGAUAUUUCCUUCAUAUCUUGUCUCACUGUCUCUUUAAUGGAAACCUUGAUGCUCCGGUACGAAAGCACAGACCCAAAUUUCUUCGAAGUGUUCAUUGA